rnacentral:rRNA from 1 species
UACGUAGGGUGCGAGCGUUAAUCGGAAUUACUGGGCGUAAAGUGUGCGCAGGCGGCCGCGCAAGUCGAGUGCGAAAGCCCCGGGCUUAACUUGGGAAUUGCGCUCGAAACUACGUGGCUGGAGUGUGGCAGAGGAAGGUGGAAUUCCACGUGUAGCGGUGAAAUGCGUAGAGAUGUGGAGGAACACCGAUGGCGAAGGCAGCCUUCUGGGCCAACACUGACGCUCAUGCACGAAAGCGUGGGGAGCAAACAGG